AAGCCCUUCCAGUGCCGCAUCUGCAUGCGGAGCUUCAGCCGCAGCGACCACCUCACCACCCACAUCCGCACCCACACCGGCGAGAAGCCCUUCGCCUGCGAGUUCUGCGGCCGCAAGUUCGCCCGCUCCGACGAGCGCAAGCGGCACGCCAAGAUCCACCUCAAGCAGAAGGAGAAGAAGGCUGAAAAAGGCUCGGCCGGGCCCCCACCCGCCGCGCCCCCCGCCGCCGCCGCCGCCACCACCUCGCCCCCCGUCGCCCUCGCCCCCGCCGUCACCACGUGCGCCUGAGGCAUGGCACGGCGCGGUGACACCUUUUUGCACUGGUGCCGGAUGGAUCGGGGCUUCGCCGGCGUCCCGCUCGCCCCCCGUGGCCCCGUCCUCGCCAGCGGGAUGCUUGCCGGGACCCCCCCGUGGGCCGGAUCCGGUGGAUCCUACACCCAACCUGCCCGGGGUCCCGCUCCGGAUCCGACCCCAGCACCCGGCUCCCAGCCUCUCCGGAGCACGGUGGCCGCGCUCCCGGUGCCCGCACCCGCUCAGCCCCAAGCCCCGCGGCCAAGCUGCCCCCGGGGGUCGGCACCGCACACACGGAUCCCACCCGCUGGGAGCCAGCCCUGCGGGGUCCGGCGAGCGGCACCGGGGCACCCUUGGGUGCCCGGGCAGCCAGCCCCGGCGGGGUCGUGCCCCACGCGUGCUUUUCCCACCCGAGCCCCCCGGCUCGGCGGCGGAGUUCUGUUCGCAGGACAGCCCGGUGACAGCAGCGACAGCGCUUCGGACCCCGACGGUGACCGGCUCCGUCCCCGUGCCCCCAUCCCUGGCUUUUUGGGGACCUCCGAGCCCCCCCAGACCCACGCCACGGCCGCCUCCUCUUCCUCCUCUUCCUCCUCGCCCCAUCUCCUCCGGCUCCGUCCCCGCGUGGUUUUUCCACCCCUCGGUCCCCUCAGCGGGCUCUCGCCGUCAGCUUUGACCCCGGCACCAUUUUGCAGCCGGAUUUAGGGGAUCGCUCGCGGCCGCUGGGGAAAAGAGGAUCUAAAAAAGGGGGAUUUAGGGGGGGUUCAGCCCUUAAUGCCCCCCCUCUGCCACCGCCCCUCGCUGGUCAAAUUGCUGCAGAUACAGAGCGGAGAGGGAUUUUUCUUCGUGCUGCAAGCUGGCUGGGUCACCCCCGUUAAAAAUAACCCGAUUUGGGGUUUUUCACCCAUAGGGGCAAGAGGGAAAAGUGGGAGACGCAGCAGGACGAGGCGAGGUGCUGGUGGCCCCCCUGGGGUGCUGGUGGCACCGUGGUCAUCCUCGGCGGUCCCCAAGUGUGGUGGGACACGGGGAGAUGGAAAACAUCGCCCGAUUUCCCUUCUUUGGCCUUAAUUUGCAUCCGCAGACGGGCCCCGGAGGAGCUGCUUGCACCAGGCCGGGGCGGCUCUUCCAGUUGCUGCCGUUUGGGCUCGGAGAGCCUUUAAUUUCGGGGAGACACCCGGGGCUGGGCCUUGGGGUGGCUCCGGGUGACUCAGGGGAGGCUCGUCCCGGCCUUCCCGAUGGGGAAAGGACCUCGGGGCCAGCGGGGAACCGGCUUUGGGGCACCCCGGGUGCUUUGUAGGUCCCCAGGGAGUCCUUUCCAGCGUGGUUCCUCUUGGGGUGACCACGGAGAGGUGUCAGCACAGGGCCAAGAGCAGCCCCCAACCUUCAUGGUGUUGCUUUUGGUGCUUUUUGGGGCCAAAAAAUAUAGAUAUAUAUAAAUAAAAAGGGCCGGGCCUUCUCUUCGGGCCUACUC
rnacentral:lncRNA from 1 species